CCUACGGGAGGCAGCAGUGGGGAAUAUUGCACAAUGGGGGAAACCCUGAUGCAGCGACGCCGCGUGGAGGAAGAAGGUCUUCGGAUUGUAAACUCCUGUUGUUGAGGAAGAUAAUGACGGUACUCAACAAGGAAGUGACGGCUAACUACGUGCCAGCAGCCGCGGUAAU
rnacentral:rRNA from 2 species